rnacentral:rRNA from 1 species
CGGGAAGGGGUUCAUUUGGAAACUUGGGAAACUUGAGUGCAGAAGAGGGAGAGUGGGAAUUCCACGUGUAGCGGGUGAAAAUGCGUAGAGAUGUGGGAGGGAACACCAGUGGGCGGAAGGCGACUCUCUGGUCUGUAACUGACGCUGAGGAGCGAAAAGCGUGGGGAGCGAACAGGAUUAGAUACCCUGGUAGUCCACGCCGUAAACGAUGAGUGCUAAGUGUUAGGGGGGUUUCCGCCCCUUAGUGCUGCAGCUAACGCAUUAAGCACUCCGCCUGGGGAGUACGGUCGCAAGACUGAAACUCAAA